rnacentral:rRNA from 1 species
GAAGAUGCCGGAUACCUGCGACAGGACGGAAAGACCCCAUGGAGCUUUACUGUAGCUUGACAUUGGGUCUUGGUACUACAUGUACAGGAUAGGUGGGAGGCUUUGAAACCAGGACGCCAGUUUUGGCGGAGCCAUCCUUGGGAUACCCCCCUUGUAGUACUGGGACUCUAACCAUAGGCCAUGAAUCUGGUCUUGGGACACUGUCAGGUGGGCAGUUUGACUGGGGCGGUCGCCUCCCAAAAGGUAACGGAGGCGCUCAAAGG